CACGUGGUCAUCCCCCUGCAGUAAUAUGUACUGGAGCAAUGACUCAGCUCACAGUUCUACCCUAUAGCUAUGUUUGUGCCACUACCACCUCCUGCCUCAAAGAAACUCUUGCCAGGGUGAUUUACCAAGGAUAAAGAUGUCUAAUUUAAGUUGGACCAACCCAAUUCUCUUUCUUGGAAAUUUGAAACUAGAAGAGAGCCACAUGGAGAAUGAAGGUCUUAUUUCAACUGUUGUUCAGGAAUGAUCCAAACAAAUUCAGAAGCAGAUUUAAAUGUUAUAGGUGCAAGAAAGGCUUAUACCCAUACCCUAGAAGUUAAGUAUGGCCAUGUGAUUCACAUUGGCCAAUGAAACAUAAGAAUAUGUGACUGUAUCACCCCCAGAUGUGCAAAUCUCCAUGUUCUCUUUCCUUGCUAUGGCAAAUGCUGAACUCCUUGUUGAGAUUGAAAGAGAUAGUAGGGCCUCUGGCAGCCUGAAACCCUCAGUGACUUCAAUGAGUAGAACCUCCCUAAUAACUCCUGGU
rnacentral:lncRNA from 1 species